UACGAAGGGGGCUAGCGUUGCUCGGAAUUACUGGGCGUAAAGCGCACGUAGGCGGCUUUCUAAGUCGGGGGUGAAAUCCUGGAGCUCAACUCCAGAACUGCCUUCGAUACUGGAGAGCUUGAGUCCGGGAGAGGUGAGUGGAACUGCGAGUGUAGAGGUGAAAUUCGUAGAAUAUUCGCAAGAACACCAGUGGCGAAAGGCAGGCCUCAGCUGGCCCGGGUGA
rnacentral:rRNA from 1 species